UACGGAGGGUGCAAGCGUUGCUCGGAAUUAUUGGGCGUAAAGGGUAGGUAGGUGGUCUCAUUUGUCUGGGGUGAAAGCCUUGAGCUUAACUCAAGAAGUGCCCCAGAAACGGUGAGACUGGAGUCCUGGAGAGGGUCGUGGAAUUCCUGGUGUAGCGGUGAAAUGCGCAGAUAUCAGGAGGAACACCCGUGGCGAAAGCGGCUCUCUGGGACGGUACUGACGCUGAGACGCGAAAGCGUGGGGAGCGAACAGG
rnacentral:rRNA from 1 species